GAUGAACGCUGGCGGCGUGCUUAACACAUGCAAGUCGAACGAUGAAGCUCAGCUUGCUGGGUGGAUUAGUGGCGAACGGGUGAGUAACACGUGAGUAACCUGCCCUUAACUCUGGGAUAAGCCUGGGAAACUAGGUCUAAUACCGGAUAGGAGCGCCUACCGCAUGGUGGGUGUUGGAAAGAUUUAUCGGUGUUGGAUGGACUCGCGGCCUAUCAGCUUGUUGGUGAGGUAAUGGCUCACCAAGGCGACGACGGGUAGCCGGCCUGAGAGGGUGACCGGCCACACUGGGACUGAGACACGGCCCAGACUCCUACGGGAGGCAGCAGUGGGGAAUAUUGCACAAUGGGCGAAAGCCUGAUGCAGCGACGCCGCGUGAGGGAUGACGGCCUUCGGGUUGUAAACCUCUUUCAGUAGGGAAGAAGCGAAAGUGACGGUACCUGCAGAAGAAGCACCGGCUAACUACGUG
rnacentral:rRNA from 1 species